rnacentral:lncRNA from 1 species
ACCCGGCAUCCUUGGUGUUCCUUCCUGUCUACUCUCUGUCAUGACUUUGAUCCCCAGUGAUUUUCCUCCUCUCCGUUGGUGUCGAUAAACGUCGAGUUUUUCCCCCAUCAUCCAUUGAUGAUUUGGUUGUGUUCGCUCUCCUAGAAGAGUCCUCCUCUCCGUUGGUGUCGAUAAACGUCGAGUUUUUCCUAUGCGUCCGUUGGCGUAUAGU